UUUAUUUUGCAGCAUUGUGGAAUAAUGAAAGGCGGACGCAAUCUGUCACUUGAGGAUGGGCCUGCGGCGCAUUAGCUAGUUGGUGGGUGUAACGGCUCACCAAGGCGACGAUGCGUAGCCGACCUGAGAGGGUGAACGGCCACACUGGGACUGAGACACGGCCCAGACUCCUACGGGAGGCAGCAGUAGGGAAUCUUCCGCAAUGGGCGAAAGCCUGACGGAGCAACGCCGCGUGAGUGAUGAAGGUUUUCGGAUCGUAAAGCUCUGUUGCCAAGGAAGAACGUCUUCUAGAGUAACUGCUAGGAGAGUGACGGUACUUGAGAAGAAAGCCCCGGCUAACUACGUGCCAGCAGCCGCGGUAAUACGUAGGGGGCAAGCGUUGUCCGGAAUUAUUGGGCGUAAAGCGCGCGCAGGCGGUUCUUUAAGUUGCUGGUGUUUAAACCCGAGGCUCAACUUCGGGUCGCACUGGCAAACUGGGGAACUUGAGUGCAGAAGAGGUCAGAGUGGAAUUCCACGUGUAGCGGUGAAAUGCGUAGAUAUGUGGAGGAACACCAGUGGCGAAGGCGACUCUCUGGGCUGUAACUGACGCU
rnacentral:rRNA from 1 species